CCUACGGGUAGCAGCAGUGAGGAAUAUUGGUCAAUGGACGAGAGUCUGAACCAGCCAAGUAGCGUGAAGGAUGACUGCCCUAUGGGUUGUAAACUUCUUUUAUAUGGGAAUAAAAUGUUCCACGUGUGGGAUUUUGUAUGUACCAUAUGAAUAAGGAUCGGCUAACUCCGUGCCAGCAGCCGCGGUAAUACGGAGGAUCCGAGCGUUAUCCGGAUUUAUUGGGUUUAAAGGGAGCGUAGGUGGAUUGUUAAGUCAGUUGUGAAAGUUUGCGGCUCAACCGUAAAAUUGCAGUUGAAACUGGCAGUCUUGAGUACAGUAGAGGUGGGCGGAAUUCGUGGUGUAGCGGUGAAAUGCUUAGAGAUCACGAAGAACUCCGAUUGCGAAGGCAGUUCACUGGACUGCAACUGACACUGAGGCUCGAAAGUGUGGGUAUCAAACAGGAUUAGAUACCCCAGUAGUC
rnacentral:rRNA from 1 species